rnacentral:rRNA from 1 species
UAGGGAAUCUUCGGCAAUGGGGGCAACCCUGACCGAGCAACGCCGCGUGAGUGAAGAAGGUUUUCGGAUCGUAAAGCUCUGUUGUAAGAGAAGAACGUGUGUGAGAGUGGAAAGUUCACACAGUGACGGUAACUUACCAGAAAGGGACGGCUAACUACGUGCCAGCAGCCGCGGUAAUACGUAGGUCCCGAGCGUUGUCCGGAUUUAUUGGGCGUAAAGCGAGCGCAGGCGGUUUAAUAAGUCUGAAGUUAAAGGCAGUGGCUUAACCAUUGUUCGCUUUGGAAACUGUUAAACUUGAGUGCAGAAGGGGAGAGUGGAAUUCCAUGUGUAGCUGAGAAAUGCGUAGAUAUAUGGAGGAACACCGGUGGCGAAAGCGGCUCUCUGGUCUGUAACUGACGCUGAGGCUCGAAAGCGUGGGGAGCAAACAGG